rnacentral:rRNA from 1 species
UAGGGAAUCUUCGGCAAUGGACGGAAGUCUGACCGAGCAACGCCGCGUGAGUGAAGGAGGUUUUCGGAUCGUAAAGCUCUGUUGUAAGAGAAGAACGAGUGUGAGAGUGGAAAGUUCACACUGUGACGGUAUCUUACCAGAAAGGGACGGCUAACUACGUGCCAGCAGCCGCGGUAAUACGUAGGUCCCGAGCGUUGUCCGGAUUUAUUGGGCGUAAAGCGAGCGCAGGCGGUUAGAUAAGUCUGAAGUUAAAGGCUGUGGCUUAACCAUAGUAGGCUUUGGAAACUGUUUAACUUGAGUGCAAGAGGGGAGAGUGGAAUUCCAUGUGUAGCGGUGAAAUGCGUAGAUAUAUGGAGGAACACCGGUGGCGAAAGCGGCUCUCUGGCUUGUAACUGACGCUGAGGCUCGAAAGCGUGGGGAGCAAACAGGAUUAGAUACCCUGGUAGUCCACGCUGUAAACGAUGAGUGCUAGGUGUUAGACCCUUUCCGGGGUUUAGUGCCGUAGCUAACGCAUUAAGCACUCCGCCUGGGGAGUACGACCGCAAGGUUG